UCAUGCGACAUCGUGUCAGAACUAACGGUCACAUGAGUGGCUAAAAAUAGACACUAGUACAUAAGGAAGAACAAGGUGUACACGGCGACAAAGUGAUCAAGCAGGUGCCAUAUUGCGUCUAAAGUAACAUAACCAGCGAUAUGAGCUACCCACAGACAUACCAACAGCAGCCUGGGUACGGGACUACAGCUGGAUACCCUCCACCACCGGCAGGAGCGUACGCGUACCAAACCCCUCCGGGUCAAUAUCCGCCAGGACAGUACCCCGCGGGCCAAUACCCACCUCCGGGUCCGGUCUACCAACAACAGCCAACAACAGUUUACAUGUAUGACGAUAGAGGGCGCCGCCAAGCGGAGGCCGAUAAGGAGGCUGCAGAAGACUGUUGCUUGUUAGCCGCCUGUUGCGCGUUGUUGUGUUGCUGUUUUGCCAAUUCAUGAACAGAAAACAAACAUUGUGUGUUGUUAGUGGCAUAAUCGAAUCAUAGACACAUCCCAAUAUAAAGAUAUGGGAUGGUUUAAUUACGCUGUGAUAUAACAAAAUGACAGUCCAUUCCAGAUCGUUUUCGAGGCAGCUGGAACUAAGACUGUUGCUUUGUCACAGCAUGUGGGCAUCACUAUGACGUAAUCAUGAGAAAACCCCCCGGAAAUGUGCAGUGUAUUAAUGUCAUGUAACUUUAUUUAAAUGUUGUUUCAUAUGUUUUAUAAAAUCAAUUAUUUUAUUACAUAUAUAAGUCUGAGGAUUUAUUUUGACAUAAAAUCGUUACCACAUGCAUGCUUACUGUCCUUAA